rnacentral:rRNA from 1 species
UAUCUCUGUAGAGUCUGCAUAUCAAUAAGCGGAGGAAAAGAAACUAACUAGGAUUCCCUUAGUAACGGCGAGUGAAGCGGGAAGAGCUCAAAUUUGAAAUCUUCAAGGUCCUACCUUGACGAAUUGUAGUUUAAAGAAGUGUUUUCUGUUGAGAGUUGAGUACAAAGUUCCUUGGAAUAGGGACAUCAUAGAGGGUGAGAAUCCCGUAUUUGACGUUAUUCAUUCUAGCUGUGUGAUACACUUUCAAAGAGUCGGAUUGUUUGGGAAUGCAGUCCAAAAUGGGUGGUAAAUUUCAUCUAAAGCUAAAUAUUGGCGAGAGACCGAUAGCGAACAAGUACCGUGAGGGAAAGAUGAAAAGAACUUUGAAAAGAGAGUUAAACAGUACGUGAAAUUGUCAAAAGGGAAGCGUUUGACACCAGUGUUGUUUUUCCGAAAAUCAAUUACGAAUGGCUUGAUUUUGUGUUGUAUUGACCUUAUCAGCUUUCUGCACUUUUUUCGAGUCUUUCUUAAUGCACUUUUCGGUUAACAAGUCAACAUCAAUUUCUUUUGUUGUAAAAGAGUAUUCGGAAGGUGGCUUUCUUUUCGGAGAAAGUGUUUAUAGCCCUAUACUUCUACAAUCGGAGAGAUUGAGGUCUGCAGCGUAGAUCCUUCGGGGUUAGAUACAUUUGUGCUAAGUUGUAGCUUUUCAUAGACAACUUGUUGACUAUGUUUAGUCAUGCGGCUUACUCGCUUGUGCUAUUUUACCUACGCUUAGGAUGUUGACUGAUAUGUAGUCGUA